UGUGCUCCUCUCAUGCUUACCGCCUACCGGGAGUUCCCCACCCUCGACUCGAGGCUUAGCCGGCCAAUAUUGAACUAACCUUAGCUUUUCCCUCUAUAAAAAGAGGACCAUCAUGAAGCAGAGCUUGGAGAUAUAGCAGCAACUCAUACAAAGCUAAAACAAUCUCCUUGUUAAGUUCAUCCUUAGCCCAAUCAACCAUGUCGGACAAGUGCGGCGACUGCAACUGCGCUGACAAGAGCCAGUGCGUGAAGAAGGGAAACAGCUACGGACUCGUCGUGGAGACUGAGAAGAGCUACAUCGACACUGUGGUCAUGGAUGUUCCAGCAGCUGAGCACGAUGGCAAGUGCAAGUGUGGUUCUAGCUGCGCCUGCAUAGACUGCACCUGUGGUAACUAAGCCAAGCCCCGCCCACCGAUCGAUACAUGGGAUUAUAUAUGUGGAAUCGUGGGUCGACUUUCGUCAUGAAUAAUGUAUUGGUGUUGAAUAAUUGUGCUGUCCUCUGUUAAAGUACUCUAAUAUGCUUGUUGUUUGUUAAGUGGGUUC